AGUGUGUGUGUGUGUUGCAGGUGUGACUGCUGUAUCAUCACAUGCACAUGUCAGUAGGUGGCAGAGAGGAGAGGGGUUAUGUCUACACUCAGUGUUCUGACCUGUGAGCCUCUGAGUGAUUAAUAGCCUCACGCU